rnacentral:rRNA from 1 species
UACGGGGGGAGCAAGCGUUGUUCGGAUUUACUGGGCGUAAAGGGCGCGUAGGCGGCCACCGCAAGUCGACUGUGAAAUCUCCGGGCUUAACCCGGAAAGGUCAGCCGAUACUGCGGGGCUAGAGUGCAGAAGGGGCAACUGGAAUUCUCGGUGUAGCGGUGAAGUGCGUAGAUAUCGAGAGGAACACCUGCGGCGAAGGCGGGUUGCUGGGCUGACACUGACGCUGAGGCGCGAAAGCUAGGGGAGCAAACGGG